CCCAGGGGCACCCUCCUGAGCUUUUCCUGGGUGGUAAGCCAAAACCCCAGCUUUGACUGGUCUGCAUCUGGGGCAGAACCCUCCCUUUGCUGCUCUGGAGCAUAAUAGACGCUAGCCUCUUUGCCCCAGAGGGUAGCACACAAGGGUCUCUUAGCACAGUCCACAGAGCCCCCUUAUCUGCCCCUCAAGGACAGCAGCAUAAACCAGGAAGAAUUCCAAGGCACUAGGGUGAGCUGGGUGUAAACGAGGAGAAUUUGGCCCAUCUCACGCACCUUUGUUUUUCUUCAGUUCACUAGGAUAGUUCCAUCCUGCUGGGAGAUUUACUGCACUUGAACUUCUCAAGCUGCCCUGUAUGUGCUUGUUUAGAAAUUUCAAUCUCUCCUAGAUUCAUAGACUGUAAGGCCACUAGGGAUCAUUUGAUCAUCUAGCCUGACCUCUUGAAUUUAUCAGGCUUUAACUAUCUUACUGUUGGUUCUUGUUAUGCCUUUCUCUGCUAGAUAAAAGAGCUCUAGUGAAGGAAGGCCCUGUGCAGUUUUGUUACAUAAGCAUCUCUGGAAAAGGAAAAAACCCAUAGUCUUCUACAGGAAAGACUCAAUGCAAAAAAUAAAUGUAACAUGUCUACUGCUUCUCUCUACUCCCUUCACCCUUUGGGAGUCAACAGGAUGUAUGUCAAAUUCAGUCUGUGCAGGAAGCAAAAAUUGAUUUUGAAUUGUAUUUGCUGGGUUGGGGCUACAAAGUUCGGUCUCUCAGUCUACAGGGGUUCUGCCAGGGAUGACCAAGAGAGGUGUACACAAAGAUCAAGGGAAAAUGGCCUUUUCAUAGAAACUAAACUGUUAGCAAAUUUACAGCAGAUUUUGGAAUCACUUUAUGAGGAAUACAAGUUGCAGGACGCUAUCAAGAACAUUACCAUUUCUGCCCUUUCUUUAUUUGUCUAUUUGCCUAUGCAAUUACAGUAAUUAAACAUGCAAAUUAGGAAUAUACAAUUUGUGUGUAGAACAGCCUAUCGAAGUUAUCAGGAAUUCUGGUCUCUAAAGUGUAAUUGUUACGCUUCAGAGUCAACAGACCACUGAGAUGGCUCAAAACUCUCAAAGCUGUUGUUUCCAACAUUGGUUCACAUUUGUAACUUUAUUUUCACAACUAUAAGGGCUAUUAAUUGUCUUUCAAUGCAAACUUUCAUUCUGCAGAAUCUGAAGCUGAAGAUGUUGCGAUGGCCAAAAGUAUAACUGUGUUCAAAAAAGGAACGAGAUAAGUUCACAGAGAAGAGGUCUAUCAAUGGCUAUUAGCCAAGAUGCUCUGGGAUGCAACCCCAUGCUUUCUGAGUGGAGAGAGAUUACUCUGAAACUGGCACUAGCACAACUGUGAGUGUUGUCUCUGGACACUCCACUACUCAGGGGAGUCCACACAACUCAACAUUUCCUCAGGGUGUCACAAUUAAAAUCACAACAGUGCCCAUAUCUUGCUGAAAUCCAGCCCUGUGCCCUGCAGCCUUGAAACGUCAUAUUGCAUGUCUGUAUUGGGGAAGUCAGCAUGCUGCCCAUGGAGCUGGAAAUGAACAUGGGGAAAGGGGCUGGAUACAGAUAUGAUGCCUUUCACCUCUAUGUCUCGGGUUCCACCUGAGCCUCAGUCAGGAGUCUGGCUAGGCAUCCUGAGAACGGGAAUGUAAUACAAAACCUUUCACCUUUGAGUCACCACUGACAAAGUCACUAACCUCUGGCAGCUGUUUGGUGACCUGUGUACAAUGAAUUAGGACUGGAUGUAAUGGGAACUGUUGCUGGCAAUCUGAGACUGAAUCAUGGAGACCAAACGAGAGUGGCCCAUCUUGACCAGGGCAGGGUGGGAUGCUGCUGCCCAUCUAAAGAUAGAGGACUUAAUGCUCAAGACUGUCAAUCUGGCAGCUCCCACCAGCACUGACUUAACUUGAAAUAUAAAUGCAUAAAACAGAACCAGGCUCUGAAGUCCUGCUAGAGACCUUUCCUCUGCUUUCACACAGCAUCCCAGCUACACUUGCACUACAGUGGCUUUGUCUAGCCAGGCAAAUCAGCUGGGGAGGGCGUGUCUCAGAGAUACUGCCAGUCUGGCUCAGCCCAGGAUCCUCUUUGCCAGAGGAAAGAUCCUGGGCUAUGGUCAGCACCAGCACCAGAAGAUACAAAGAUCCCUGCAGUGGCAGUUUUGGUAUAGCCUGCCCACACAGGAGUUUCUUCCUAGACCCUUUCAUUAGAGACUGUCUUAUUCCCUGAAGUAGGAGGGUUCUAUGCCUUAAAAUGUUGGGUUUGGGGGAAUCUUAUCUAAUGUAACUUCCCUUUAUCAAGGAUGUAUCUAAUUAUUUGUGAAUCUGGGUAAGUUCUUGGCCUCAAUGAGAUCUUGUGGUAAUGAGUUCCACAGGCAAAUUGUGCAAAAAACAUUUCCUUGUAUUGGUUUUAAAUUUGCUGCCCUUCAAUUCAAUGUAUGAUGAGAAAAGGGUAAAUAGAAGUGUUGUAUGUGGAUCCCUGAUAAUUAACCCCUUAGCAUAGAAUACUAGGGUUGGAAGGGACCUCAGGAGGUCAUCUAGUCCAACCCCCUGCUCAAAGCAGGGCCAAUCCCCAAUUUUUGCCGCAGAUCCCAAAUGGCCCCCUUAAGGAUUGAGCUCACAAUCCUGGGUUUAGCAGGCCACUGCUCAAACCACUGAGCUAUCCCUCACCUCUCUUACAGGGAAUGUCAGAACACCUCCUAUUAUGAACAAUAAUGUGUGGCUGGAGCCAGUAAAGAUUAAAGCACAGAGAUCAUGAUGGCUAAUUGGCAUAUUUAUUGACUUUUUGUUAAGGACAAAACCCAUGUGUGGGGAUUCAUGAAGCGUGCAUGAUGAGAGAUGGGCAUUCCACUCCCAGCUGCCAUAGCCUCAUACUCCAAGGAGACAGUUUAUCUGUACUUCUCAGUCAGCACCGAAGUAAUCUUGGACAGGAAUUUGUCCCAUGCAGCAUGGACUUCUGGGGUGAAGUCGCUGGGAAAGUGGGCAGCCACGGAGCACAGAAUGCAAUGGGAAAGCAGCUGCAAGAGAAAAGAACAGGAGGAAAUCAAAUGGAACUGCCUGAAAUAACAUUCCUCUGGCUAGUGAGACUCUGGUCUUUGAAGAAUCAAGCAGGAAUCUCCUUGCUAGUUACACAGAGUCACCUCAUGUGGAUAUGAGCUAUUGGCUAAGAAAUCCACCUUCUGGACUAGAGAAAAGUCAUUGCUUAACAUUGCUCCCUCUUUCCCCUCCACAAAAGGAGAAUACAAAGUAACUGUGAAUAACCCUUGCAUUUACAGAAGGCUUUUCAUGCAGGAACCUCAGAGCCCUUGGCCAAGAACUGUCAGUAUCAUAAUCCCCAUUUUAGAUGGGGAAGAUGAGGCACAGAGAUGUGAUGUGACCUGCCCAAGAUCACACAGUGAGUAUAUGGCAGAACCAGAGCUACUCAUUCCCAGACCAGUGCACAGCCUCCUGGACCACAGCUGCCCUCUCAGGAUUGACUGUUCCCAGCAAAGGCAGGAGUCUUAGCCAGCCCAAGACGGACCAGCCAAGGACUUCCACAGCCACUCUGAUUAAAGUGAAGCUGCAGCCACAUUUCCAAGGCUCAGCAUGAUAACAGCUUCACCGCUGAGCUGCAAGGCUUCGUCCCUGCCACACUCUGCACUAUAUGGGAAAGUAUUCAGUGCUUAAGCUCCCAUCAGCUGAAGUGGCCUGGGCCCACUGACUCAGUGACCAAUGGACUCUCUUCACCCUCUGCACUGCAUGUGGGAGUUCACUCACCUUGAAGUUCACCGGAUCGACUCGGAGGAUGUAGGCAUGCAGCUCGCUAAGUGUGGCCAAGGCACCUGUAAUGUUAUCGAUGUUCUUGACAGCCUCACCAAUAGCACCCAGGACCUUGGAGCCAUGGUCAUGAAGCUGAGCAGAACCAUGGCUGAGAUCGAAAUGAGGAAAAUAGGUCUUGGUCUGGGGGAAGCUUGAAAAAAGCCUGGAAGAGAACAUUAGAAAUGGCUUCAGCAAUGGAAAUUGCACUGAGCAGCUGACACUGAGAAAGGGGGAGCCAUGACCCUGGAUAAACACUCCAUUCUGCUCUUCUAGUCCAAAGCAUUAGAAUGGAUUAGAGAAAAUCUGUGAUCCUUAGACUGUUAAUGUCCUACUCUGUAACCUGUUCUAAACCAUGAGCUGAACUGGUGCGGGAAUAUUCAAAUGUUACAGGCCAGCAGUUCCACAGAAGCAGUUUGUAACCUUAUUUCUUUAUUUUAGGAAAAGAAUGAUAUCAGACCAAAUUCAUCCCUGGUAUAACUGCAUAAAUCAAUUGAGUCACACCAGGGAGGAUUCUAACCCACAGUAAAUAACCAGAUGUAGUGGGAUCCUAGAGGCAAAUGUAGAUUUACAUGCUGAAAUGUAUUUUAAAAGCAUUUUAAACUUACUUUCUUUUCUUCUUUGAACUAAAUAACCUAAUACCUCCACACAGCCACCUGCACCUUCUGUAGUAUAUUUUCUUCAGCAGAACCAAGUUUUAUUUCCUAAUGAUAGUUAGCAAAAUCCAUAACCUUACAGUGAAUACUCUAUAUACAGAGAUAUUUCAUUGUCCAGAAUCUUUGCUUUACCCACUAUAAGUGGGGCUAUACAUCCAAAAAGGACCAUCAAAAGAUUUAAAAUUAACAGGCUGAAUAACACAAACCUGGGAUUAUUCUUUGCCUGAAUAAACCAAGCCUGUUCAAUAAACUUCCAGGUUCUUUCCCUUC